AAGUCGUAACAAGGUUUCCGUAGGUAUGUUAUCACUCCCUUCCCCCUCCCUCCACGACUUCGGAACUAACGUGAAUAUUAGGUGAACCUGCGGAAGGAUCAUUAUCGAGUUAGGGUCUUCACGGCCCGACCUCCAACCCUUUGUUGAGUUGUACCAAGUUGCUUCGGCGGACCCGUCCCUCCUCCGGGGGGGACCGCCGGGGGGCGUCACACCCCUCUGGCCCGCGUCCGUCGACGGCCCCCCUUCAAAACUCUUGUGGAAACAUGUCAGUCUGAAACGUCAUGAUUAGCGAUAAUCAAAAACCAAAACUUUCAACAACGGAUCUCUUGGUUCUGGCAUCGAUGAAGAACGCAGCGAAAUGCGAUAAGUAAUGCGAAUUGCAGAAUUUCAGUGAGUCAUCGAAUCUUUGAACGCACAUUGCGCCCUUUGGCAUUCCGAAGGGCAUGCCUGUCCGAGCGUCAUUCACACCCCUCAAGCCUGGCUUGGCCUUGGACCACGUCGCUCACCCCGACCGGUCUCAAAAGUAAUGACGGCGUCCGGGGGACCCUCUCUACAACGAGCUUUCACCGGCACGUAGGGAGUCGCAAGGUCUCUCCGGCACGGUCUCACCCAUGAAUCUUUUCACGGUUGACCUCGGAUCAGGUAGGAAUACCCGCUGAACUUAA
rnacentral:rRNA from 1 species